ensembl:rRNA 5S_rRNA 5S ribosomal RNA
GCUUACGGACAUGCCAGCUGAAGAUUGCCCAAUCUUGUCUGAUCUCAGAAGCUAAGAAGGCUUGGGCCUGGUUAGUACUUGGAUGGGAGACUACAUGGGAAUACCAGGUGCUGUAAGCU